rnacentral:lncRNA from 1 species
CCUUAAUUCAAUAAUUUGCAAAUGUAUUAUUUACAAAUGCUAAUGAAGAUAGAUUCUGAUAUUUGUGUCUGGUACUCUUUGGUAUCUAGCAAUAACCGCUGAUAACGUUUAGAUAAUCUUAUUUUCUACCCAUUGAUAUAAGCAAUAAAAAAGGGCGAAAGAUACCAGAGGGACAGACUCAUAGACCGAAAAUAAACUGACAACGCCAUGGCUAAAAAAGAAAAAGACAAACAGACAAAUGAUACUUGUAGUACACAAGACACAGCAUAGAAAACUAAAGACUUAGCAACACGAACCCCAUCAAACACUGGGGGUAAUAUCAGGUGCUCCGAAAGGGUUAGCAGAUCCUGUUCCACAUGUGGCACCCGUCGUGUUGCUCAUGUUAUUACAAACCCGGCAAAUAGUAUAAUUCGGUAGGUCACAUUCGUAGUGAAAAGGGAAAUGGAUUGUAGUUACGAUAUAAGGAACAUAUCCGAUAUCAUCUAUGAAACGGUAUUCCAUGACGGUCUACCAACCCGUGAUGGCUCCCGUAAAAUUUACGAAGUGAUGAUUUCAACUUCGCCAUUUGGAACUCUUAGUUUAAUAGCUUACUUGUGAGCAGCAACCCUCUUUCAAGGAAAUCAUGAUAUGAAAUACAAGCCCGGGAAUGUCGUAUCAAUUGGGAGAUAUAUACUCCGUAUGCAGGC